GAUGAAGAACGUAGCGAAAUGCGAUAAGUAAUGUGAAUUGAAGAAUUCAGUGAAUCAUCGAAUCUUUGAACGCACAUUGCGCCCGUCAGUAUUCUGGCGGGCAUGCCUGUUCGAGCGUCAUUACGCCCCUCAAGUCCCCUGUGGACUUGGUGUUGGGGAUCGGCGAGGCUGGUUUUCCAGCACAGCCGUCCCUUAAAUUAAUUGGCGGUCUCGCCGUGGCCCUCCUCUGCGCAGUAGUAAAACACUCGCAACAGGAGCCCGGCGCGGUCCACUGCCGUAAAACCCCCCAACUUUUUAUAGUUGACCUCGAAUCAGGUAGGACUACCCGCUGAACUUAAGCAUAUCAAUAAGCGGAGGA
rnacentral:misc_RNA from 1 species